UACGCAGGGGGCUAGCGUUGUUCGGAUUUACUGGGCGUAAAGCGCACGUAGGCGGGUUGUUAAGUCAGGGGUGAAAUCCUGGAGCUCAACUCCAGAACUGCCUUUGAUACUGGCAACCUAGAGGCUGGAAGAGGUUAGUGGAAUUCCCAGUGUAGAGGUGAAAUUCGUAGAUAUUGGGAAGAACACCAGUGGCGAAGGCGGCUAACUGGUCCAGAUCUGACGCUGAGGUGCGAAAGCGUGGGGAGCAAACAGG
rnacentral:rRNA from 1 species